CCGCGGUCCGGGCUUGCACCCCGCUGGGCAAAGUACCCGGGGCUGUCACACGGCGAGCUGAGCCCUGGGCCGGCGGAACAGCAAGCCAUUGGAGAGUCCUGAGCAGAGAAAGGACUGACCUGCCUCAUGUUUUAAAUCUGGCUGCCGUAUUGGAAGUAGAUUGGAGGAAAAAAAAGUGGAAGCCCUGGGACCCACCAUCAUGAACAAUCGGGGAGAAGACAAGAGGCCAGCAAAGGAAUGAACACAGGGACGCAUGAGACAUUUGGUGCCGAAGACCUGGGUCAGCGGGACUCCUUUGGGAGACCAGUCCCCCAUCCUCACCCUCACUCUGUGAAGAGAUCCACCUACGACCUUGGGUCCUCAGACCAACCAGCCUAAGGAACAUCUCACCUAUUUUAAAUCGGACAGGAAUGUCAGGCCUCUGAACCCAAGCUAAGCCAUCAU
rnacentral:lncRNA from 1 species